GACGAACGCUGGCGGCGUGCUUAACACAUGCAAGUCGAACGAUGAAGCUGGAGCUUGCUCCGGUGGAUUAGUGGCGAACGGGUGAGUAACACGUGAGUAAUCUGCCCUUGACUCUGGGAUAACUGCGGGAAACUGUAGCUAAUACCGGAUACGACACCUUCGGGCAUCCGAUGGGUGUGGAAAGAAUUUCGGUCAAGGAUGAACUCGCGGCCUAUCAGCUAGUUGGUGAGGUAAUGGCUCACAAGGCGACGACGGGUAGCCGGCCUGAGAGGGUGACCGGCCACACUGGGACUGAGACACGGCCCAGACUCCUACGGGAGGCAGCAGUGGGGAAUAUUGCACAAUGGGCGAAAGCCUGAUGCAGCAACGCCGCGUGAGGGAUGAAGGCCUUCGGGUUGUAAACCUCUUUUAGUUGGGAAGAAGCGAAAGUGACGGUACCAACAGAAAAAGCACCGGCUAACUACGUGCCAGCCGCCGCAGUAA
rnacentral:rRNA from 1 species